rnacentral:rRNA from 1 species
UACGUAGGGUGCAAGCGUUAAUCGGAAUUACUGGGCGUAAAGCGUGCGCAGGCGGUUUUGUAAGACAGGAGUGAAAUACCCGGGCUCAACCUGGGAAUGGCGCUUGUGACUGCAAAGCUGGAGUGCGGCAGAGGGGGAUGGAAAUGCGCGUGUAGCAGUGAAAUGCGUAGAUAUGCGGAGGAACACCGAUGGCGAAGGCAAUCCCCUGGGCCUGCACUGACGCUCAUGCACGAAAGCGUGGGGAGCAAACAGG